UACGUAGGUGGCGAGCGUUGUCCGGAUUUACUGGGCGUAAAGAGCGCGCAGGCGGUCUGUUAAGACAGGUGUGAAAUCCCCGAGCUCAACUUGGGAAUUGCGCUUGUUACUGGCAGGCUAGAGUGUGGCAGAGGGGGGUGGAAUUCCACGUGUAGCAGUGAAAUGCGUAGAUAUGUGGAGGAACACCGAUGGCGAAGGCAGCCCCCUGGGUUAACACUGACGCUCAGGCACGAAAGCGUGGGGAGCAAACAGG
rnacentral:rRNA from 1 species